rnacentral:tRNA from 1 species
UCCAGGAUAGCCUAGUGUACAUGGCACCUGCCCGGUAAGCAGAAGGUUGUGGGUUCGAUUCCCGCUCCUGGAC